GGGGAUGUAGCUCAGGGGUAGAGAGCUUGCCUCAUAGGCAUGAAGCCCUAGGUUUGAUUUCCAGCAUCACUG
rfam:Ictidomys tridecemlineatus contig043109, whole genome shotgun sequence.